AGCUGAAAAAGGCAAACCCGUCGAAAGGCGGGGACGCAAAGUCACCGGUCUAAUCCGCGCGUGCGCGGGAUGACGGCGGGACCGCCACU
rnacentral:ncRNA from 1 species